GCGGGUGUAGCUCAGUUGGGAGAGCACGGGCUUCCAAUGUUUGGGGUCUCGGGUUCGAACCACGUUGCCCGCUCCA
rnacentral:tRNA from 1 species